rnacentral:rRNA from 1 species
AUUAGAUUAAAAACCAAUGCCCUUCGGGGCUCUCUGGUGAUUCAUGAUAACUUCUCGAAUCGCAUGGCCUUGCGCCGGCGAUGGUUCAUUCAAAUUUCUUCCCUAUCAACUUUCGAUGUUUGGGUAUUGGCCAANCAUGGUUGCAACGGGUAACGGAGGGUUAGGGCUCGACCCCGGAGAAGGAGCCUGAGAAACGGCUACUACAUCCAAGGAAGGCAGCAGGCGCGCAAAUUACCCAAUCCCGACUCGGGGAGGUAGUGACAAUAAAUACUGAUACAGGGUUCUUUCGGAUCUUGUAAUUGGAAUGAGUACAAUUUAAAUCCCUUAACGAGGAACAAUUGGAGGGCAAGUCUGGUGCCAGCAGCCGCGGUAAUUCCAGCUCCAAUAGCGUAUAUUAAAGUUGUUGUGGUUAAAAAGCUCGUAGUUGAACCUUGGGCCUGGCUGGCCGGUCCGCCUCACCGCGUGUACUGGUCCGGCCGGGCCUUUCCCUCUGUGGAACCCUAUGCCCUUCACUGGG